UACAGAGGUCUCAACCGUUGUUCGGAUUCAUUGGGCGUAAAGCGUCCGCAGGUGGCACUUCAAGUCUGUCGUCAAAGACUGGGGCUUAACCCUGGAAAGGCGGUGGAAACUGAAGCGCUAGAGUGCGGUAGGGGUAGAGGGAAUUCCCGGUGUAGCGGUGAAAUGCGUAGAGAUCGGGAAGAACAUCGGUGGCGAAAGCGCUCUACUGGACCGCAACUGACACUCAGGGACGAAAGCUAGGGGAGCGAAUGGG
rnacentral:rRNA from 1 species